rnacentral:rRNA from 1 species
AUUGAACGCUGGCGGCAGGCUUAACACAUGCAAGUCGAGCGAACGUCGUACGGGUGAGUACUUUCUUGGAAACUGCCUGAGGGGGGGGGAUAACUACUGGAAACGGUAGCUAAUACCGCAUACCAUCAGAUGUGCCCAUAUGGGAUUAUCUAGUAGGUGGGGUAAAGGCUCACCUAGGCGACGAUCCCUAGCUGGUAUGAGAGGAUGACCAGCCACACUGGAACGUAGACACGGUCCAGACUCCUACGGGAGGCAGCAGUGGGGAAUAUUGCACAAUUGGCGCAAGCCUGAUGCAGCCAUGCCGCGUGUGUGAAGAAGGCCUUCGGGUUGUAAAGCACUUUCAGCGAGGAGGCGUUACUCGCAGAAGAAGCACCGGCUAACUCCGUGCCAGCAGCCGCGGUAAUUC